GACGAACGCUGGCGGCGUGCUUAACACAUGCAAGUCGAACGGAAAGGCCCUGCUUUUGUGGGGUGCUCGAGUGGCGAACGGGUGAGUAACACGUGAGUAACCUGCCCUUGACUUUGGGAUAACUUCAGGAAACUGGGGCUAAUACCGGAUAGGAGCUCCUGCUGCAUGGUGGGGGUUGGAAAGUUUCGGCGGUUGGGGAUGGACUCGCGGCUUAUCAGCUUGUUGGUGGGGUAGUGGCUUACCAAGGCAUUGACGGGUAGCCGGCCUGAGAGGGUGACCGGCCACAUUGGGACUGAGAUACGGCCCAGACUCCUACGGGAGGCAGGAGUGGGGAAUAUUGCACAAUGGGCGGAAGCCUGAUGCAGCAACGCCGCGUGCGGGAUGACGGCCUUCGGGUUGUAAACCGCUUUCGCCUGUGACGAAGCGUGAGUGACGGUAAUGGGUAAAGAAGCACCGGCUAACUACGUG
rnacentral:rRNA from 1 species